ensembl:lncRNA
CUGCUCUCCUUUCAGAUGCUCCAUUAAUAACAGCAGAACUAAAGCGAGUUAUGAAGCUCUACAGCUGUGUAGGUGAUGCCGUUUUCUUCCAGGACUCCUUAUGGCUUUAUUCCAGUCCUGUCCGAGGGGAACAGUCAAUCAAUCUGGACGGGAGGUCUGGGAUUUGGAAAUGGAAGGAGACGCCUCACGCCUCAGCGAUUCAUCAACACAUAAAUCUCCAGCCCUGACCCAGGAGAUCAGGAACAGAAACAAUGAAGCCCUGUGAGGGACUGGACUGGCGAUGUGUCCAGCGUUUCUCCGUCUGCGGUCCGAGACAUUGGACAGACUCCAGAUCCUCUCGACCCUACAGAGGACAAGCGGUUUGAAGAAGGGAUGGGUGGUUGAAAAUCUAAUGAUAUAUUUGUACUAAGCAAAAUAAAUUAUUCGCCAGAUGCGUGUUUUUGUUUUAU